rnacentral:rRNA from 1 species
CCUACGGGCGACAGCAGUAGGGAAUAUUGCUCAAUGGGGGAAACCCUGAUGCAGCAACGCCGCGUGGAGGAUGAAGGUUUUCGGAUUGUAAACUCCUUUUGUCAGAGAAGAUAAUGACGGUAUCUAACGAAUAAGCACCGGCUAACUCCGUGCCAGCAGCCGCGGUAAUACGGAGGGUGCAAGCGUUACCUGGAAUCACUGGGCGUAAAGAGCGCGUAGGCGGGAUAGCAAGUCAGAUGUGAAAUCCUAUGGCUUAACCAUAGAACUGCAUUUGAAACUGUUAGUCUAGAGUAUGGGAGAGGUAGGUGGAAUUCUAGGUGUAGGGGUAAAAUCCGUAGAGAUCAGGAGGAAUACU